rnacentral:lncRNA from 1 species
GAUGAAGAGAGGUUUGCAUUUUCAUUUGAAUAUAAGCAGACAACCAGACAUGAUUCUUUCUACCUAUCACACCAUCCAGUCUGUUUUCUGCUGCUGCUGCUGCUGCUGCACAGUGCAAAAAAGAGCAAUGAGAACAAAAAUGAACCUGGACCCUGAUACUGGCCUCAUGACCCAGUACUCGGCCUCACAAUUAGGUGUUUCCUAUGCAUCCACUCAGAAGUACAGGGUAAGUAAUGUUUUGGCAGGUGAAAAGAGAGAAUUGGGGUGAUGUG